UGAGGAAUAUUGGGCAAUGCCCGCAAGGGUGACCCAGCAACGCCGCGUGGAGGAUGAAUGUCGUAAGAUUGUAAACUCCUGUUAGAGGGGAAGAAUAGUACCGGUUGGACCGGCAUAUGACUGUACCCUCAGAGAAAGCCCCGGCUAACUACGUGCCAGCAGCCGCGGUAAUACGUAGGAGGCAAGCGUUGUCCGGAUUUACUGGGUGUAAAGGGUGCUCAGGCGGAUUUGUAAGUCAGAGGUGAAAUCUUACAGCUUAACUGUGAAACUGCCUUUGAUACUGCAAGCCUAGAGUAUGGAAGAGAGUGAUGGAAUAUCUGGUGUAGCAGUGAAAUGCGUAGAUAUCAGAUAGAACACCAAUGGCGAAGGCAGUCACUUGGUCCAUUACUGACGCUAAAGCACGAAAGCGUGGGUAGCAAACA
rnacentral:rRNA from 1 species